AACUUUUAAAACCAUUUUGAGGUGUCUUCACAGUGUUAGCUGGAGCAUCGGCCUUUUAUUUUCACACAUUAUGUGAGACUAGAAGAGAGAUCACACCAAAGAAGAGGGCUGGUCCAGACUCGACAUAACCAAAACCACUUCCUUUUCACUCAUAUCACCCGUUUUCUGUGGAGAUCGCACAGCAUUAUUCUGGACUUGCAAAUUUGAAACAACAAACAUGAGGUUUGCUUUGUUUCUGAAUGGACUCCUGCUGCUCUUUCUGCUUCCCGACCGGACAGAAAGUGUUGAAUCCCUGGACAUCACAACUCUUGCUCGCAUUAUCAACUUCUUCGAACAGAACUAUAAGAGAGUGGAUGCAGAUGGCCAUGACGUGAAAACGUGAAAAACGUGAAAAACGUGAAAAACGCUAUAACGGAUGAAACAAAUGCACUUUACCAGGGUGCAGAGCUCAUCGCUGCAGGAACUAAGAAAGUUGUGAUCAGUAAAAAGAAGCAAUACAACAGGCAUUCAGAGUCUCUCCUGCUCAAUCCUGCCGGCAAUUCUCUAAUGACCCGACUUCUGAAUAAAAGAAAAGAUGGCUGCUCGGUUUUCUACACGUUUGAGUCCCCAUGUGUGGACACAUGUCUGAAUCCAGAUAGCAACCACAAUAUUCUUGAAGGCCUGAGGAACUGGAAGGAACACGGUGGGAUUAAAGCUUUUGCUUUCAAGAAUUUCUGGAAGUUUGACAUUGGAAAAGAUCUUCAGAGUGAAUUCAAGAAGAUUGCGGCUAUUGUUCCUCUGUACCGCUGUGUGAGUGAGAAUGUGUGUUAUGCUUGUAAAGGGGAAGGAAACACUGCCAUUGACCCACGCUGUCUGCCUUAAGAAAACAUCUAUAUUCAUGCACAUGCAAUGUAGUUUUAAAACCUAUUAUCAUCUUUCAUUUUGAAAUAUAGUCAGCUUAGAUAAAAAAUGUGUUUGCUUCCUGUUUAAACAAAUAAAGUACUUCUGCUUGCUACUUUGUGUUUGGACUUCAUUUGGACUUCAAUGGAUUUCACUUGUGGGAAAAUGAAUGCCCAAAGUGUACUACAGUAUAAAGUCCACGUUACAGUUUGCGUAACAUGAAUUUUACUGUUUGCAUAAACUGUACACUGUAAAAAAAAAAAUCAGUAAAUGAACAGUUUUCAAAGCUUGACAAAACUAUUCAAAACUGUUUCAGAGAUCCAAACACCAAAUCAUUGAACACCUGCUGGUCAAAACUGUGUGAAUGUAACAAAAACAUUUAAACAUCCAUUAAAAGCUGAUUUUCCUUUACAGAUCCGCCACUAACUUAUACAUGUGUGGGUUUUCAUAUACUUGUUUAUGUUUACGUCCCAUUAAAAAUAAGCUCAUGCAGCUGGCAAGGUGAAAGAAGACAGUCACAGCGGGUGCUGGACUGCUGAUGUGAGCCAGAGCUUAUGAGGACAUGAGAAACAUGUUCAUCUUUUAAAGUGCCACUAUUAUGCUUUUUGUGGUUUGUGGUUUUGGAACCACUUGAGGGAGAUUAAAUAGUGAUUUUAA